rnacentral:rRNA from 1 species
UACAGAGGUCCCGAGCGUUGUUCGGAUUUACUGGGCGUAAAGGGUGCGUAGGUGGUGAGGUAAGUCUGAUGUGAAAUCUCCGAGCUUAACUCGGAAAUGGCAUUGGAAACUACCUUGCUCGAGGGUCGGAGGGGGGGACUGGAAUACUUGGUGUAGCAGUGAAAUGCGUAGAUAUCAAGUGGAACACCAGUGGCGAAGGCGAGUCCCUGGACGACUCCUGACACUGAGGCACGAAAGCUAGGGGAGCAAACAGG